rnacentral:lncRNA from 10 species
CCUGGAGGACAUAGAUUUUAAUUCUUAGGUAGAAACCAAGCCAUGUGGAUGUGUAACUCUUAGCUCAGCAAGUGACACACAGUAGGCAUGCAGUAAGCCUGUGCUAAACAAAGUCCAAGUUCAGAAAACACCAGACUAAAGAAACCAAUGAGAAUGAAGGUGGCUUCUCCUUUCCCAUCCAUAUCAAGAUGCCCAGAAACAUUGCAAUCAAACAGCAGAGUGGUGAAAAUUUAAAAACAAGCCACUGAUGAAUUAUGGCUUGAGAAUAAAGAACACUACUGUCACCUGUGCCCCGACCCCUGAAUAAAGGACUUUCUGAGUGGAUCCACCAUUCUGAAAUACCGUGUGCCACAUUCUCUUAAAAGUAAGAUGAAAUAAAAGGUAGGCAGCUUAUUUGUACUUCUGUGGUGCAGAAGAAACAAAGCCUACAGACAAAGCCCUCUGCCCACGGACAAACAUGCCUAGCAGGUGAUCAAAUUCAACCCACAGACGAGAGCAGCAAAAUGGAUUCUGGUCCUGCCGAACCCGGCCGCUUAUGCAGAACCCCUGGCUGCCCUGGCUGUCAUUUACAACCAACACGACCAUCACCAGCCAUGAAGAGCCAGUGAGGCCCAGGAACUGGGAAGUUUGGGUACAAAGAGGGAAUGGGGCACCACAUUCAGGCCACAGCCUGGGCAGACAGGCCCUUCCCCACAAAGGUGCAGUCCUGGGUCCCCAAGGGAGGGGGCCCUGGCCUCCCUAUCUCCCCUCCCAAGUCAGCUGUCGCCUAUCUGCUUCCUCCUUUGUUUACGAGCAUUUCGGAUCCAAAGUCUCCAAGCACAGGGUGCAUCAGACCUGGCGGCCGUCACAAGCCACAUUAGGCACGCUGUUGGCUCUGCAAGGAUUUAAUCAGUAACUGGCCCAGGAGACCAGGGCAGGGCAAGCUGCGACCUGAUCCCACAGGAGGCAAAGUUUACAGGCAGGCCAGGCGGGUGAGGCUGCUGGCUCCACCGGUAAGACAGCCUGGAGGGCUAUCAGGUCCCUUGGACCCCAGACUAAAAGGUGUACCUAGCCGGUGUCACCCAGCAGGUGGGACUGGGAGCCCGAGUCUGCCUGCAUCCCAGCCUGAUGCAGAUGUGCUCCUGGAAGCACGGUCUUAAAUCUCUCAGAUUCGGUUAAUUGGAUCAAUGGAAACAGACUGCAAAAGGUUUGGGCAAAAAAGAGUAUUUGGCUUGUUUAUUGGUUUGAAUCCCUAUCAAUCACUCUGGGUCUUGUUCCUGAAGCCCAUACAAUUAACCAGAUAAUUACCAGAUGAUUCUGAGUUGGGCUGUGUAGAUGGCUUAAAAUAUGGAUGACUGAUAUUUCAAGUAAGGAUAUGACUCUAUAGGAAACAUACUUGGAAUAUCGGGAGCUCAGGGCUGGGCCAGCGGCUGCUGCGAAGCCACAGGACUGCAAAGGGUUUUUGUUCUAGGGAACUGCACUCAAAUUCACCUUUGUUUUAUUUGGGCUCAUAUUUCUCAAUAGAGUGCUUGGGCCGCACUAUAAAACGCAGACAGAUUACAUAAUGUCCAGGCCUCAGGGAAACCCCACAGGGGCUCCGCUGCUUCCCCGAGAGCCUGGACACCAACCAGGUGUCUCAUGAUGGGACGAGAGCCCUGGUGGCAGUCCCAACCUCACCUCUACCCGGGAGGCCAGCGCUCCAGCCAGGCCAGCCCUCACAGCCCCACCUCCAGGCUCACAGGCCCUGAGGCAAGGCCCCCUGGAGCCCACCAGAGGGCAAGGGUAAGACUUAAGGACACCCCCUGCCUGUAGUGCUUGGUGACGAAAGGCAGCGGAAAGGGGAUUAUGCCAGUCCAUCAAACACUUCCUUAUAGUUCCUCUUGCCACAUUUCCUAACACCAGAGCAUGGCUCUGCCAAGAGAAUCUUGCUCCAUGGAUAAGCCUCAGUCCCCAGUACUAGACAGGUGCUUUCCGGAAAGGCCCACACUACCGAUGGUGCCACCUACCUGGGCUGGCCAAGGUGAGCGAGGGGCCUCUGGCUAUUCAGGUCUUUCUUCCUUCCCUCUUUCUCUCAGAUAUACCUCCUGAGCAAUCGGAGGUAAGUGGGGAGGCAUUAGCCUCGAGAGCUGGCUUUCCGGAAACAGGACGGUAGCAGCGGGACACUCACUCCUGGCUUCUCCCAGAGGGAGAAGGGGCUCCUCCUGGCCUUCCCAUGGCAGGUCACUGUUCCUUCUAACCAUUUUCCUACCCCACCACCAACAACCCUUCAUUUUGUGGAGUGUAAGAGGAAAAAAAAAAAAAAAGCCCAAUAAAGUCCCCCUGAGCCAGGUGAAAAUUCUGAAGCCAGAUCUGGGGUCUCCAGAAUCCAGGCAGGGGGCACCGCGGUCACCAGUUCCUCCCCACAUCAGAAACACUCCGUACUGGCAAAUUUUCGGAGGCUCUCUCCCGCCUCCAUCCAUUGGAAAGCCAAAUGCUGCGGCCUGUGGCGCGGGACGGGCUUGAGAACAUGCACCAGCCUGACCGGGGACUGGGCCGCCUCCCCGCGACCAGCAAUCCUCCCUGAAAAAGGAGUCUUUGCAGAUAUUGCACCAACGUGCCCACAGGAAAGAGAAAAUAGGUGCUCUAAGCAUGUCGGACCCCAAAUUAAGAAUAAAAGUCCUCGAGGGCUGCAACGCUCUGGGGUGGGGGGUGGGGGACUGGUUCAAAGAGUAGGAUUCUUCAGCUAACUUUUCCCCCCUCCCCAUUCCUUGGGGCAUGUGUCAUGGCCUGUGACACACCGCCAAGGGAACAUGGAUGCCAGGGAAAUGUCUACACACGCUACACGUUUGUGACAUGCCAUGUAAGCGACACCCUAUUUCCUGGCUGGGUUUUCUUGGCACAGGUGUGGGCAGGCAGUGGAUUCGGCCCCCUCCCACUGCGCUUAGUAAACAGGAUCACGGUGGCCCCAGGGAGGAGUGUGCAUUCUGGGGAAGACAAGCUACACCCCCAAUGAGGAUGGGACCCCCACGGCAAGCCUCAGGC